GGUUCAUGUCCUGAUUAACCUAUAUCUAAUUGCGCUUCGUCUAUACCGCCGUAGUACGCUCGUAUUGCAUCCUGCAAGUAUGGAAGAUACAUAACGUGUCAUAUUAGACAUGAUUGCAUUUUUACCUUAAGACACCCCCUGGCAAUUUCAUGCUCAAGCGGGAGAAAAAUAGGUUGCUUCUUAUCUCAUUCUUGACUUCCAUUACAGGCCAGAUUUUGAAUGUACGUGUGGCAAACCGUGACCGGCCUUGGGCCAAUGUGAAAAUUAAAUGAAACUUUAUUUUCACUGAAGCGACCCUCUAUUUCAAAUAGAACAGAAUUUUGAGCGACCAGAAAUGUUCGCAUGACUAAAAGCAUUAAUUUUUUGCAGUUAAACGUACAAAUAUUAGUAUUGUUAGAGCAGGUAUUUAAUGCAUGCUAUUUUUUCCAUUCAUAAAUUCGAUUGUCCCAUUUACCGAAAUAUUUGUCCAUCUCAUUGCUUAACUUUAUAUCGAAUUGUUUGAGGCAAUUGCUUUCAAAAAUAUCUUUAUUCUACAAAAAUUAAGUAUUUUCUGCCAUUUUUCUCCGCAUUGUUUUUAUGAAAACUGUUAACUACAACUGUACUGUUUCGCAACAAUUUCUAUAGUUACUUUUUAGUUUUCUUAAAAUAUGAAAGGUCGAUCAAUUUUUUACUGUGAUAACUUCACAAAGCUUUCUUCUAAUGCAUUGCACUUUACACAAAGAAAUCCCCAACAGUCUCUAAAGCACUAUACAUUCAUGGACAAACGAUACAAGAAAAGAAAAUCCACGAUAGCUUUUCGUAGUCAUCAGUUAUUUCGGAUUUCUAAGUUCCAUCAUAAUAUUAUAACAAUCAAACGAGGUCCUGUUUUGCAAUAACAGUAGGCACAUAAACCUAAUUGGAUAAAACUAUUGUUGUCUCAUAAAUGUGCACCUAUUACAGAAUGACAAAUGACAAAGAGCGAUCUUCCUGGCUGCCAUUUGGGAGAGGAAAAAUAAAAAAACUUUCAAAAAGUUUAUACUACUAGAGAAAGCGCAAGACUGCUAUUUUCAUGUCAGCUAAUGCUGUAAAGCCAUCAAAAGCCAUCGUGCUAGGGUGGCCAGUGACAUAAAGACAUCUUCCUUAAAUUGUUGAUAAGCCAGGUUUUAAGAAAUGCGAAUACAGUAUUCUCUCCAAUUAGCGGACACCGUCCGGGCAAGAGCAAGGUGUCAGCUAAUUGGAAGUGUCCACCUUUUUGAAAUUUUUGCAAUGUAAGUCUCAAAUUUGAAAAAUGACCCGAGCUUUGCAUAUAAAGGGUGUAAUCAGUGGUGGCGCCAGGAGAGGGCUAGGGAGGGGGGCUACAGCCCCUCCGUCGGAAGCAUCUAGCCCCCCAUCGGAGGAGAUUUUGGGUUAUUGUCGGAAACUGCAUAUUUUAGUCAUUUUAGCCCCUCUGUCGGAAGAUUUCUUGCGCCACCUCUGGGUGUAAUCUGGGUAAUUAGUAGCUAUUGGGUUUAACUUAGACUCUAAAAAAAGAAAAAAUAACCAAAAUGAUAUUUUCAACAAGAAUAUAUAUCAGCAUCAUAUGUAAUAUCAACUAACGAGGGCAAAAUUUGCAAGUAAAUGUUUAUUUACCAUACUGUAUGUUUUUGCUUAAAAGAGUCGUUAAUUGAUUGCUGUUCUUUGUUGUUGACACGAAUAAUUUCUAGUCUCUCUUUAAGUGAGGACAAAGAAGCUCUUUCCUCACUAUUGAGAUCUUUCAAGUUUAUCAAUUUAUCAAUCAUUGUCAAUGCUUUCCUCAUCUUUGUCACUGUCAUCAGACGAAACCUCUUCUACCUCUUCUACUCCAGAUUCUUUCCGGAGAUAUUCACCAACUUAUUUUCUACUGAAUUUGCUCUCCAACCUACUUUAUCAGAGUUGAUUUCAAAAACAGAAGUGCACAUUUCGACAUCAAUAUACUCUUCAGCAGUUAUUUCAGAUUCUGUAAGUUCUUUGAAAAGCUCUUUGAAUUCAUCAUUGACAAUAUCAUCUUCAAUUUCACAGGAUUCCUUAUUAAAACCACAUUUAGCAAAGCAGUUUUUGAUUUUUUCAACAGUAACCUCUUCCCAAGCAUUAGCCACCCUUUCAAUGGCUUGUAAAACAUCAAUUUUGUUUGUAAUUUCUGAUGCUAGAAAGUCAUAAUAAUAAUAAUAAUAAUAAUAAUAAGAGGAAUAUUUAUACAGGGUAGAGCCUUGUCAAUACUACGGGGUAUUGUUGUCAAUAAGGACCCUGUUUGAAAGAAGAAAAUAUGUAACUCAUCAAGAAUACAUAAUACAAAGUAAAAGCGUAUUUUUUUCAUAACUACGAUUUGUUUCCGCCUUUGCUUUUGUUUCCUUUCUGAGCCAAACCUUUGGUAGGCAAAGCUUUAAAAAAAACACCCAGUCUCAUCCAUAUUUAUUAUAUCUUUAUCCUCAUAUCCUUUGCAGAGGUCUUGUACUCUUUCCAUCCAAGAUUCAAUUGUAAUCGUAGAGACAUCGAGAGACUCACCAGAGAUUUGUUUUUCCUUUAUACCAUGACUCAAUUUCCAUUUAUCAAGCCAGCCCUCUGAUGCCUUGAAACCAUCCAGUCCUGGACGGUUCAAAGAUUUUUUGAUAUUCAUUGCUUCUUCUUUGAGUAUAUGCCUAAUUACAUAGAUACCAGAUGCCUCACAUUUUUUAACCAAAAGUAAAGAAUUUCAUUGAUUGCUUUGAACUUUUGAUGGCUUCUCUGUUAACAUGUUUGAAACCCUUGCCGUGAAAGCUCUGCACUUUUUCUCAUCUUGCAAAACGUUGGCUGCUUCUCUUCCCAAUAUUGUAUAUUUUAGAAAUCUCUCUGUAACUCAUUUUGUUCUUUUUAUUUCCAUCUAAAAUUUUUAUGUUUUCAUCAAAUCAGAGGUGUCCGCCUCUUAGAGUGUCGGUUAAUUGGAGAGAAUACUGUAAACUGCCUUGUAUGCUUUUGUAGGUAUCUUACACGUAAGCCCCUGUGCCUUAGAGGUCACAUGAUGCAUCAUGCCAGGUAUGAAAUUUAUCGGAUCCAACUAUCUGUAAAAUUUAUGUUUAAGAACAGAUGUACUUAUGAAUUAGUGAGAAGAGUAAAAGUGUAGAAGUCAAAUGUAUGCUUGUCGGGAACUCACAACCACAAUCAUUCAGUUUGUUGCGAAUUUUGCUUUGUUUUAUUUUUAUAAGGGUAAGGGACUAGAGUUCUUCCUAUACAGGUGUAUUGGUGCCGAAGAAUAGAGACAAAAGAUGCAAACGCUGGUGUGAAAUUUUCUUGAUUCUUAUAUGUGCAUUCUUUUAUAGGACGAGUGUGAUAUGCGUGUUAUUUGACUGUCUUACACCGCUUUGUCUUCCUUCUACAACUUCACUUUCUACUUUGCUUCAUCUUGGUUUUUAUGUAUUUUCUGCGAUACAGUUCAGCGAAGCGUUAACAUAACAUUCUUGCAGCGCGUACAGUAUUACUGGUGUUUUCAUUUCUAAGAAUUACAUACUGUGAAAAACACACCUGAAAAUAAAUGAUCGGAAGACUAGUACCUGUCUUUUCUAACCGGUUACCGCUAGGUAUAAGGUUGCUAACCAACCGUAUAAGGUACCACGUGAAUAUACUUAGGGCGUGCAUUUCUCCAUGCAAAAAAAUUGUGUUACAUACAUAUAGCACUUUACCAAAUACCAAAAUCUUAAUACCCACAACAAUCAAAGCGAGUACAAAAAUAGACAUCUCAUAAGAACUGUGUUUGGCAGUCGGAAAGUUAUCAAGUUUACAUCUUUCGUGAGCUGCGGCGUUGCCUCUGGAAAUGACCUAUAACCUCACAACAAUCGGUCAUAUUUAGACAGGUGGCAGCUCCUGAAAUAUCAGCCCCGUUUACACGAUACCAGACUCGCUUCAUAUCGGAUUCGUUUCAUACCAGAUAGGCCUUCUGUUUGCACGAUGAGGACGCAAUCCGAUAGGCUAUCGUUCGGCUUUUGUGGAGUGAAAUCACUCCGCUACGAAAUUGGUAUGAAACCAAUCCGAUAUGUACCGGAUUCGGUAAAGUGCUCGUGUAAACGCUCGAAUCCGGUAUCAAUUUGCUCCGCAACCUCAGUUACAAUCCCUGUGGCCUCAACUCCACGUUUGGCACGUUUUUUAACAAAUUGUAGUUUCAUUAGUAAGAAAACAAGAUGAAUGCUGAUAAAGAGAAAUUGUUCUUUACCACAGUGAUUGGUCUUGCACACACUUUUCAGAGAAAAAGCCAUCUCAUGGAUCUUUUUUCAAGAUAUUUCUUAUCUUUAAGAAGACUUCACACUUCCCCAUUCUUUCCCCUUGAAUUGAAAACUCGCUGCAUGCGAUUUCACGGUCUCUAGCAACAGCUCAAUUUCUUGCUCAGUCCAGGAAAAAUUUCUUCCUUAAGUUUCUUCCCUGCUCCCGCCAUUUUUCUGUUUCAGUGACUCUCUUCAGUGCCCAGGUGGCAGGUAAUAUUUUGGCGCGACUCAAAUACCAACGCAGAGGCCCCUAAACAAAACACUACACCCCGCAGUGCGGAGUUACUUCUAUCGUGUAAACAGGAGCCCUGUCUGGUAUAAAACCAAUCCGAUACGGUGCAGCGAAUCCGAUAUGAAUUGAAUCCGGUAUCGUGUAAACGCUCAGUGUCAAUAUUGAAGGCAAGAGGACGUAGAGAAACAUGAACAAGCCACCUCCAUUGAUAAUCCAAACCGAAGCAUUUAACUUAUACAUAACGUACAGUUAUGCUUUGUUCGGACUUGGAGGAUUCCUUGUCAACAUAGCAAUGCUCAUCGUGUUACGACGUGAUAAAAGAAGUGAAUCAACUUUUAAUAAAACUAUGGCCAGCCUUGGUAUCGCUAACAUGUUGAUGGGCUUGAUUUUCUCAACUGCUGGGUUUUUGAUCGUGUCCAAGUAUGAAAAUGAUAUCUUCCUCAUGGCUCUUUGGUAUGCCAAGGAGUGCGUACUGUCAGCAUCGAUCUUCCAUCUUGUGUUCAUUGCCAUUCAAAGAUUGGCUGCUGUGCUAUUUCCAUUGAGAUUCAAGGUUUUUUUCACGCCAAAAAUGGCUGCAAUCCUACUGGUUGCUGUCUGGAUUGUUUCCAUCCUGUUCUUAGUAUGCGUUAUGCUGCCAAUAACCAACGCCAAACUCAACCGGCCAUACUUUCCUCCCAUUGCAUAUGCCACAUUGUUGACUGGGAUAGUCCUUCUAAUGUGUUACAUUGCAAUGCUGUACCGACUGCUUCAUUUAAAGAGAUUCAGGUCUGAAUCUUCAAACGCUGAUCAACGGUCCAUUCUCAGCUUUAGGCUUUUCUUCAACUCGUUUGGAGUCACCUUGGUUUUUAUCCUACUUGCAUUCCCAUUUGCAGUAAGCGUCAUAGAGAAUAAGAAGCUUCGGCAUUGGUCGGAACCUUUCGCGAUGUUUUUUGCAAUAAAAACAAUGGCAGAUCCAACGGUAUACUUCUUCAUUUCGAAAUGCAGUUGUGAACGUGUGACGAGGCGUGUAAGACAUGGACAGUCAGGAUCAUCGAGCAAGGUCACCGAGGAGGACAUUGUUACACCAAGGCAGGUAUUGAAUCAAACAACUCAUCUGUAAUAAGCGCUGACCGUAACGAAUCAUGAUAUCGUGUAUCGUAAUUUCAAGCCGACUAGUUGUAAAAGUAAACUGCAAGAGAUAAAGGUUUAUCUGCACAGAAAGUAUGAAAUGAGUUCGGGAGAUGUCGAAAAUUUCAUCAAUAUAUUGUGGAAGGAGUUUUCCCAAUCACUACCAAUAUUGUAGCACCAUUGGCACCUCUAGUUCAAUAGAAGUUUGGAACUCUGUUGUAUUUUCAUCGUUUUGAUAGCUGCUUUAUUGGUUGUUUGGACAUUUCUUCUGUCUUGGGUUGUUGCUGGGGCAGCAAUUGGGGCAGGAGGCAGUGGCUGACUGUUUGCGGUUGGGGGUGCUGCCUGCUUUCUUUCUUGUCCUUCUGUCGUAUAUAUAUGUACCUGUGUUAUGUAUUUUUUCUUUCUUUUAUUCUUUAGACGCUGUUGUUAAGCUUCUUUUUCAAAAGGCACUCAGUAUAAUAGUAGACGAGGAAAUUUUUGCCCAAACUUUGAUGUCAAUAACAAGUACAAAUAUCUGAUGGCAACUGCGUAUGAAAAUUGUGACACUCAGAGUAACUUGUAUUUAAACGCCAACGAGCUGUAAUCUCUAUUCUAUCAAAUGCAAAAAUAUCUGUUGCAUUAAUUCUAUGAAUUGCAUUCAUUAGAUAAAAGUUCAUUUUGAAUGUAACAACACCUCAAGUCUCAAUAGCUAUUGAGGAAAACGAUGACAAACCAGGUCAAUGAAGACAAACUGGUCCAAUAUAUUUAUGACCAACGUCCCGAGAUCACUAGCCUAGAUCACUAUGUGUCUAUGAUCACUAUGUGUCUAUGGCCAACGUCCUGAGAUCACUAUGUGUCUAUGGCCCCGGGGUAGUCAUAGUCUUUUGCUCCUCGGGGUAUCGUCCGAGUAGUAUUGUAAAGUAAAUUUGUAAGUAGCGUAGCUUGUAUUUAUGUAUUGUAACUUUUUAAUGGAUACAUAUAAAAAAGAUCACUAGCCAACCGUUUAAUCUUAGAUUCAAGUGUAACGUGAAUGUACUUAGGCCGUGCACUUCCCCAUGAAAGAAAAUUGUGCUACAUAUUUACCUGUAUAGAUUCAUGUUAGGUGCUCUACUUAGUCUUCUAACGCUUUACCAAACACCAAAAUCCCAACACUCCCAAUAAUCAAAGCGACUACAAAAAUAGACAGCUCAUAAGAACAGUGUUUGGCAGUCGGAAAGUGAUCAAGUUUACAUCUUUAGUGGGCUGCGGCGUUGCCUGUAGAAACGACAUAUAACGUCACAACAAUCGGUCAUAUCUAGGCAGGUUGCAGCUCCUGAAACAUCAGUGUCAAUAUUGAAGGCAAGAGGUCGUAGAGAAACAUGGACGAGCCACCUCCAUUGAUACUCCAAACCGAAGCAUUUAAUUUAUACAUAACGUACAGUUAUGCUUUGUUCGGACUAGGAGGAUUCCUUGUCAACAUAGCAAUGCUCAUCGUGUUGCGACGUGAUAAAAGAAGUGAGUCAACUUUUAAUAAAACCAUGGCCAGCCUUGGUAUCGCUAACAUGCUAAUUGGCUUGAUUUUCUCAACUGCUGGGUUUUUAAUGGUAUCUAAGUAUGAAAAUGAUAGCUUCUUCAUGGCUCUUUGGUAUGUCAAGGAAUGCGUACUGUCAGUAUCGAUCUUCCAUCUUGUGUUCAUUGCCAUUCAAAGAUUGACUGCUGUGCUAUUUCCAUUGAGAUUCAAGGUUCUUUUCACGCCAAAAAUGGCUGCAAUCCUACUGGUUGCUGUGUGGAUUGUUUCCAUCCUGUUUUUAGUAUGCGUUAUGCUGCCAAUAACCAACGCCAACCUCGACCUGCCAAGUUUUCCUCCCAUUGCAUAUGCCACAUUGUUGACUGGGAUAGUCCUUCUAAUGUGUUACAUUGCAAUGCUGUACCGACUGCUUCAUUUAAAGAGAUUCAGGUUUGAAUCUUCAAACGCCGAUCAACGGUCCAUUCUCAGCUUUAGGCUUUUCUUCAACUCAUUUGGAGUCACCUUGGUUUUUAUCCUACUCGCAUUCCCAUUUGCAGUAAGCGUCAUAGAGAAUAACAAGCUUCGGCACUGGUCGACACUUUUCGCGACGUUUUUUGCAAUAAAAACAAUGGCAGAUCCAACGGUAUACUUCUUCAUUUCGAAAUGCAGUUGUGAACGUGUGACGAGGCGUGUAAGAAAUGGACAGUCAGGAUCAUCGAGCAAGGUCACCGAGGAGGACAUUGUUACACCAAGGCAGGUAUCGAAUCAAACAACUCAUCUGUAAUAAGCGCUGACCGUAACGAAUCAUGAUAUCGUGUAUCGUAAUUUCAAGCCGACUAGUUGUAAAAGUGAACUGUAAGUUGACAAGACUAAGAAGUUAAGUAAGAGAAAGAUACAUCUGUACAAAAAGUAUGAAAAAUGUGUUUUGAAGGUGUCCGAGAAUUCUUCAAUAUAUGGUGGAAGGAAUCUUUGCCCCACCUUGGUGUCAAUAACAAGUACAAAUAUCUGGUAGCAGCUACGUGAAAAAGUAAUGACACUAAGGCAAGGGUAACUUGUAAAUUAUUGUCAACAAACUGUGAUCUCAAUUCUAUCAAUUGCAAAAAUUCUAUCAAAUACAUUCACGAGAUUCGAUUUCAUAUGACUACAUCUCAAGGCUCAAUAGCUGUGGAGAAAAACUAUGAUAAACCAAGUCAAACUGUCAGUUUCCUCUACAGCCAUCUUAACAUUUCUAAAGCUCAUCUUAACAUACAAUAAUUCUACUUUGGAAAAAACUACGUGCCAAUUAAAGGCUGCACGAUUUUUGUAUAUUUACGCGCGAUUGUUUCAAGAGAAUUUCAUGAACUAUUUUAUAAUCUAACAUUGUUACUCUUUGCAACCUUAUUCCUGGUAUGCAAAUGAUAUUUUCAUGGCUGGGACGCUGGGACAGCAUUUAGCAUUAAUUUGAUGACUUCUUCAUUUCAACGCGAAGCGCAGAGAACAUACCAAUACAAUUUGCCCGAGAGUUUUUAGAGAACGAAAUUAACUUCCUUUGUACAACAGUCAGAAGAUAAAAACGCUUUAAAACCAAACUUUUAAAAAAGCCUAAAAAUGAAGAAGGUUAUUCAACCAAGCUUUGAGAUAAUCUUUCUUUGUUAGGAAUAACUUCAAGAUCCUUUGCUCAUACCAGGAAAACUGGUGGAUUUUUAAAUCUGAGUUCUACAACGAUAGGUAGAGCAAUGAAGCUCCAUCUUUCAUGCUCUCGAUUAAGAGUUUCGGAUUUUUUACUGCGUACUUAUUCAAGGGUGUGGCUUAAUAGAAUGAGAAUUUCUUAAAACUACAAUUUAGUAAAAAUGUUCAAGUUUUUCUUUUGUCAACUUUUGCAUGUCAAAAAUUCUGUUAGAAGCACUUUCCACACUUGUGAAAGUUCUUCAUUCAAGAUUUUUACACUAAGCAACUCCAUGUCAAUGUCCUCGUUCUCAUCCUUGACAAAGAGCGGGUAAAUGAAUGGUGCAAAUAAAAGUAGUUAUUUAAUCGAGGAUUGACAACCUUUUUCCUUGACGCAAAGCAAAGAAUCUAUGUUUUGCUAAUGUAAUGUAUAAUGAACAGGUGCUAAAAUUUUCUGUCAGAAAGGACUCGUAAGGACUCGAUCCUUUUUUUGUUGAUUGCCCUGCUAUAGUAAGUAUCUACCAUAGGCACAACAGUAGGGUAAACAAGAUAAGCAAAUCUAUUGCCGCAAAGCAUAAUUUGAUUAAUAUAUAUCUCAAUUUUAUUUCAGAAAAUUGCUUGAUAUUUUCUAUCUAUUAGCAAUUUUAUUAAAAACGACAUGAAAGAAUGAGAAUGAAUAAUUGCACGCACUUCAGGAAAUUUGCAGGUGUGUUUAAGGAGUCUUAUUUAAAUAUCUAUCAAAUUUUUGAUGAAACUUUUGAAUCUUAAGGGCUUUUGAAAACUCUCUUUGAAAGAGGCAGAGAGAUUCGUAAGAUUAGUGGACAGGAAUUUUUUUCCGAAAACAAGUCGCCAGAUUUUCCUGCCGACACAAGACGCUUUGUAAAAAACAAAAGUUUUUCUAGCCUGCGUCUCUCCUCGGCUAUGGUCUAUGACGCAAGCUACUGUUUUUCUAUCACUUCCGUGCAGCAAGGCGUGGUUUGAAAGGGAAAUCUGGAUUUCUUCAAUUUUAAGUAGACUGUUAUCGAUAUCUUUAUUUCAUAACUUCUGCCCUAAAUUAUUUGCCAUUCUAAGAAAUUAAAUUUCGUCGCUGAGAAAAUUAUUGCCGCAUUUUAAAUGAUAUUAUCGCAACAUUCUGAUCUUGCACAACAUGAUGCCCUCGUACAACUCAUAAUUUUUCAUCAUGAAAUGACCGGCAUCAAAUUAGCCGGUAAUAACAUAAUAUUUGCAAUUAAAAUAAAUCAUAAUACAGAGUGCGAUAAGUAAGAAGAGAAAAUGAUUUUCACAACAAAAAAUAUGUUUGUGCGAAGAGGUUUAAUGCUAGAUCCUUUCAUAAUAUUUUACAUGAAUAUUUUUACUGAGCGAACACGCGCUGUAAGUUGUUAACGGCUCUUGAAAUUAAACAAUUUAUUUUGGUAAUGCAUUAAAAAGCUUUUUUUGCAAAUAAAAUCGAUUCAUCUGACAUUCAUUUAUCAGAUGCGAAAGCUGCAAGCAAAUCCAAAACGGCUUUCCAUUUUGAAUCCCUCUAGCCCCUGUGUUCUGUACGUGGCUAGAGAUUUUCAUAGGCCGUUGGGAGGCAUUUUGCUCGUUGACUUCAUUUAAAAAUCGGGCUCUGUUUUGCCAAGCAGAUACUUGUAUCAAGAACAGGAGUAUUUAUGGAUGCAAUAUAGCUAGUUAUUCUACUAUAUUUACAAGUGAUUAUCAGCAAGGAGCUGUUUUGCUUUGGAUCAUCGUACAUUUGUAAGCUAGGCCCACCGUGGUUUGCCUUACCCUAGGCAUAUGCACAAGUCAUUGGAUCGUGUAAGUUCCUGACUUCGAAUAGAAAUACGAUGUUACCACAGCCAGCUACUUCACCUAGAUCAAAAAACUUAUUCAUGGACUUGUCAACUUCAAAGCGGUAUAAAUAUGUGAAAAGGAUUUUUAAAUGGAGACAAAUGGAUUUUGAAUUCGCAUUGUGGCAAAUGGUUUAUCUUUGUUGUGCACCAAGAAGAGUGUACAGAAACUUUCAUUAUCACAAAG